GAAAAGCUGCAAUUUAAAGAAGGAAGGAUCAUUCUCUGGCAUGAAAACGACCAGGAUAUCAGUUUUAUCCUAAAUUAUGAUCAUUUUGUGUUUUGAAAAGAUAUAUGUAUCUAUAUUAUAUUUAGAUAAAUUGUCGUGCCGAUGAUAGCAUUGAGGAUGACCUUUUGAGCUCAGAAUGAAACAGACCUCUUUUGAAUGAUGCUGAGUAUUACUUUACUGACGAGCCGGAUGGACUUUCAUGGAAUAAACAAUUUCAAUCUUUUCAAACUGUUCCCUCCCUCAAUGUGACCGCAAAUAAGCUCAUGACCAACUUUCUGGGCUAUGAUCUGCAGACAGCUGGUAUUACCAAACGACAAACGUUCAUUGUUGAUACCGUAAUAGUUUUGGAUGGGUCUGGGUCGGUUCCUCCUUGCGACUUCUCGAAAGCAAAAGAAGCGCUUAAACACUUAAUGGAUACACUGAACAAGCCCGGGUACGACUCAAAGUACGCGGCGGUUACCUUUGAAACCACAGCAACCGUCAACUUCAAGUUUUUACCAUACUCAUCAGCAGCGAGCGAAAUAACGAAGAUAUCGUAACCAGGAGGCUCCACUAACACCCAAGCCGGACUGGCAGAAGCAAAGAAACUGUUUGAUGACCUUAACUCAGGUCGCCGUCCCUUACCAAAUAGAAAAAGAGUCUUCCUUGUCACUGAUGGCAGAUCAAACGUCCGUCCAGACUUGACCAUACCGAAUGCCAAAGCACUGAAAGCGAGUGGUGUGAAAAUCUUUGUGGUUGCUGUUGGAAAUGCUAUUUCCGGAAUAGACGAGAUGGUGAAGGUUGCCUCCAAUCCCUUAACAGAUCUGUUGAGAUUAGAUAAUUAUCAGCAAUUAUGGCGUCUUAUCCAGUUGGCUGUGAAAAUGGUUUCUCCGGGUAAAAACAACCUUGUCGACUACGAACCUUCUUGCAGCUAGAGCAAAAGUACCUCGAGUUUAUAACAGUUCAGAGAUCUGAACAUUUUUGUUUUAUUUGCUGGGCUUAGAAGGUGAGAACAAUAGGAGCUGCACCUUAAGUUUAUAGUCUGUGUAGAAACUUAUCAGUGGAUUGUAGCUGCAUGCAAACACUUUUAGGUUGAGCACGGUAGUCUAUCGUUUUGCUUAAUACUGAUCAAGGCUCCAUAUGGAUAUUAGUUCCGUAUGGUAUUUUGUAAACCACAGGGGUAGGAACUUUUAGGCAAAUGGAUUUUAAAAUAACAUUUGAAAGUUUCAAUACAUCGAUCGAUUAAUCUUCUUUUUGUUUGUUUAAUAAAAUAGCAUUACAAUCACGUCAAAUAUGAUGAUAUUUUUGAGUCCACUGUUUGGUUGAUAAAUCUGGUAAUAAUCAACGUUAUUUAAUGUCAGAAUGGCUGUGAGCCGCUGAACUCGGAUAAUGAUUUAUGAAAGGCUGAGAAUGGAGUUUUUGCACCGCUAUUCCAGCUCCAAGGGUAUUUCACAAUUUGAGGUUUAUGAAUUAAAAAGAGUAGGAAAUCUGACAUCUACGUAUUUAAAAGUGCCUUUAAUUGUAAUACUUUGAACAGACGCACCUUAAAUAACUCUACUGGUAAUGCUUGCCUCGUGUUCUCAAAUGCCCGUCGUGGUUUAUCACAGUGUAAUACACGGCUUAGGCUUCAUUUGUUAAUAUAUUGUCUCCUUCUCCUGCUUUGCCUUUUGAAGCCUCUGUAAAAAUAGUCUGCUUCGUAUCGGCCUGUAACGGUCACCUCCUCGACUAGACACUUGCUUUGUGCCGAUCGUACAGGUUAGCUGAGUAGCCAUCGCCUUCCUUGUUCCUAUCCCCGUCUCUUGGAUCUUCUCGAAUGAGGUCUUCUCCGAGGCCUUUCGCCCUUAUUAGUUGACUUCUCUUGUCGCUUCGUCUUGUCUUUGUUUCAUUGUCCUUGCUGUUGCCAAUUUAAAAUGCCUUAUACCCUACUUCCAGCUGCACGUUGUCUCGAGCAUCAGCAUGAGCUGCAUGAGGAACAUGUUCAUACGGUCUCUUUUCACCCAGUUGGCAUGAAUGAGUUUCCAGUUGACCAUUUUUCGAAGUACUUAGUCUUAAAUAUAUAAUCUUUAAUUCAUCAUCUUUAAUUGGUAUACUUCUAAACAGUAAAUUCUAUACUACCAGUUUAAAAAUAAAUAACUCAAAAAGUAAGAUGUUAUAAGUAACGGUACAAAUGGUCGAAAUAUAUGGUUUCUUCUUUUGUGCCACCAUUCGACCGACCUGGGAAAAUAUUUUCGAUCGUUGUCCUCUUCAAGGAAAUUCUCUUUUUGUCCUUGGCCUUGUUGUAUGAAACCGGGCCUUCAGCAUCUAAAAGACGAUUGCACAGUUCUUCAAGACGUCUUUAGCUUCUGUCUUCUUUUCUUAACUUUCGAGACCGCCGGUUCCGGCCAUCUGUCAGGUGAAAUGAAAUUCGCAAGUCUUGACUCCAAAAAUUGACUGUCGCAAACCCUCCAGAUUUGACCCCGCCAUUUCGGUAACCCACCCACGAGGAUUAAAGAAAUACUUCUCAUUUUCAUUUUCUUUCCUUAGAACUUCGUUAAAGUUGUUCGAAAAAGGCUCGAUGGGCAGAGCAAGAGUCUUCAUUUUCACAUUCCAUUGUGGCGAAAGGUAUACGUCUUCCGAGUAGAGGAUGAUAGCCUAGCAGCCAGUGAAACCAAACCUUUGCACAUUUUUACCUUCUCGUCGACAAAACCAAAUUCUUGACUCAAGACAUGGUCUUCAGUUCUGUCCAUGCUAGGUGCGAAUUUUACUUUAAACUUACUCGUCUUAAAAACAAAUGACGGCUUAUCAGGAUUACCACGCCGGUCAUUUAAUUUAUAACAUAACAUGGGUCACGAGGGUCGGCCAGAGCAAUAGGUGUUUCAAAAAUAUUAUUGAAGAUAGGUCUACAAUUAUCAUCCUUUAUCGGUCUAUUAAAACGUUUAUUUCAGGUUAUCUGCUUAUGAUUAUUUUUUGCGUGACCCGUGCCGCUUACCCGCGACCCGCGCGGCUCUACCCGGCGACCCGCACUGUAUAUCCGCGACUCACGCUGUUUACCCGCGACCCGUGCAGAUUAGACACUCCGUCACCAAAUGGGCAUAACUUGUAACUAUUUCAAACAGGCCAAAAUCGGGAAAUUGGCCUGACAGGGUACCUCCUCCCCUAGAAAGAUGGAAACAAGAGAAAUAAAUAACGCGAGACGGUCUGAUGUGAUCCCGCGCAAGUUCCCGCGUAAAACCGUCUUUCCCGCGAAAAGUUUUCGUGACGUCACUUGUUUUCCCGUGACGCGAAAGACACUGGUAACGAAAGAGAAUCCAAACAUGGCGACCGGAGAUCGCAGUUUUGAGAGGAUUAUAAACUCAUUUUGGUGCCAGCACCACGAUUAAUAUGGCCUCUAUGGCAUCAGUUUCCGUUUGAAGCAUAUUAUCGUCGUUUGGCUGGAUUUGGGUGCAAGGAAAAUGGCUGUGACGGCUUACAGAACACUGAAAUGAAGACCAUCUUUGUGCUGCUUACUGACAACAACACGGCAAAUUAAAUUAUUCCACAAAACUGUAAACUACAGGUAAGCUUAAAAUCAAAAGCUGCUGUUUACGAAAUUUAGUUUAUCUACUGGUGUUUUUCCGUUGCUAUUGCCCAAGUAAGCAUUGAAGUUCCAGGUUGAAUUUUAUUGUGUCGAGCGUUUAUAAUUUAUACAGCGGUAAAUUCAAAUUCUCAGUACAUCUCGCACGUGCCCGCCGUUGUUUUGAGCAAAAAAUAUCCGAGACUGGCCUUUGUUUGAGGUUCUAAGCUUAAAAAACGAAAUCCCAACCUCUUAAAAAUCCUCUCAGACAAUACUAAAGGUGCUAGAAGUGUUGUGGCUGCACGAAAACAUAAAGAUAUCAAAGAUGGACGCCACGUUUUUAUUACGCCCCCCAAGGCAUGCUGGGACCAACUAUAACAAUGCAUGAUGUACCAAGCUAUGAUAAUGCAUGAU